UCCCAUGGCAUUCCUUGGAUUAACCGUGCC
rnacentral:piRNA from 1 species